rnacentral:rRNA from 1 species
UACGAAGGGGGCUAGCGUUGCUCGGAAUCACUGGGCGUAAAGCGCGCGUAGGCGGCUUUUUAAGUCAGAGGUGAAAUCCUGGAGCUCAACUCCAGAACUGCCUUUGAUACUGAGAGGCUUGAGUCCGGGAGAGGUGAGUGGAACUGCGAGUGUAGAGGUGAAAUUCGUAGAUAUUCGCAAGAACACCAGUGGCGAAGGCGGCUCACUGGCCCGGUACUGACGCUGAGGUGCGAAAGCGUGGGGAGCAAACAGG